AAUUCCCGUUGAUCCUGCGGGAGGUCACCGCUAUCCCCGUCCGGCUAACCCAUGGAAGGCUUGGGGAGGGAAACCUCUCCGCCGCACGGCUGAGUAACACGUCGGUAACCUAUCCUCGGGAGGGGGAUAACCCCGGGAAACUGGGGAUAAUCCCCCAUAGGGGUUGGGUGGUGGAAUUCCCUCAACCCCGAAAGGGAUUGGGAUAUCCCAAUCUGCCCGAGGAUGGGCCGGCGGCCUAUCAGGUAGUUGGUGGGGUAAUGGCCCGCCAAGCCGAAGACGGGUAGGGGCCGUGAGAGCGGGAGCCCCCAGAUCGGCACUGAGACAAGGGCCGAGGCCCUACGGGGCGCACCAGGGGCGAAACCUCCGCAAUGCGGGAAACCGUGACGGGGGGACGGGGAGUGUCCCGGGGUUUUCCCGGGACUUUUGCCGAGUGUAGGAAGCUCGGCGAAUAAGCGGUGGGCAAGAGGGGUGGCAGUCGCCACGGGAAUACCCCCACCGCGAGCGGUGGCCUCGACUAUUGGGCCUAAAGGGGCCGUAGCCGGGCUAGUGUGGUCCCCGUGAAAUCCUCGGGCUCAACCCGAGGGCGCGCGGGGGCUACUACUAGCCUAGGGGGCGGGAGAGGUGCGGGGUACUCCCGGGGGAGCGGUGAAAUGCUGUAAUCCCGGGAGGACUACCCGAGGCGAAGGCGCCGCACCAGCCCGCACCUGACGGUGAGGGCCGAAAGCCGGGGGCUCAAAUGGGAUUAGAGACCCCAGUAGUCCCGGCUGUCAACGCUGCGGGCUACCUGCUGGCCGGACUUAGAGUCCGGUCGGUGGGAUAGGGAAGCCGUUAAGCCCGCC
rnacentral:rRNA from 1 species